AUCGUCUGUUCGUAUUUGUAUUCAUAUCAAUCUCGAAAAAUGUGUUUUAAUUAUCGCGUCGAUUUGUCGAUGUGUGCCGGCGUUGCCUUGUGUACGAACGGAAGAGCUUUGACAAAAAAAAAAAAUUCUUUCUCUUAUUGUAUACGGACAAGUAUAUAGUUUCAUAUAGUUUUUGACACGAUCGAUAAACGCACGACAAAAUAAAAAUAUCCGCCUCCUUUGAGCGCGUGCUGUGUCGACGGCGGUGGAUAGUCGAAAAUAACACAAUCACGCGAUCGCUAUGAAAGUGCGCGAUGCGCUCCGUC